rnacentral:rRNA from 1 species
GCCAAACAGCUAGCUUAACCACUUUCUUAACUUUUAACUAUAAAUAAAAUAAAACAAAUUUAUUUUAUAAACUAAAACAUUCUAUCACCUUAGUAUGGGAGACAAAAAAGGUUCAUCACAAAGCAAUAGAUAUAGUACCGUAAGGGAAAGCUGAAAGAGAAAUGAAAUAAACCAUAUAAGCACUAAAAAGCAAAGACUAAACCUUGUACCUUUUGCAUCAUGAUUUAGCCAGUAUACUCAAGCAAAGAGAACUUUAGUUUGAAACCCCGAAACCAGGUGAGCUACCCCGAGACAGCCUAUUAGGGCCAACCCGUCUCUGUGGCAAAAGAGUGGGAAGAACUCCGGGUAGAAGUGACAGACCUACCGAACCUGGUGAUAGCUGGUUGCCUAAGAAAUGAAUAGAAGUUCAGCCUCAUAAACCUUUAGCCAAACAUUAAUAUAAUAAGACCAUAAAGUUACCUAUGAGAGUUAGUUAAAGGGGGUACAGCCCCUUUAACCAAGGACACAACCUUUAAAGGAGGAUAAAGAUCAUAAUAAUUAAAACACAUGUUCUAGUGGGCCUAAAAGCAGCCACCUAAACAGAAAGCGUCAAAGCUCAGACAAAAAGAAGUUUAUUAUUUUGAUAAUACAAAUCUCAUUCCCCUAUUACUAUUAGGCCAACCCAUGCCAACAUGGGAAAGAUUAUGCUAAAAUGAGUAACAAGAAGAACCACACCCUUCUCCUUAGCACAAGUGUAAACCAAACUGGAUUAACCAUUGGUAAUUAACGAACCCAAUCAAAGAGAGCAAUGUGAACUACCAAUAAAUUCAAGAAAAACUCACAACUAAAUUAUCGUUAACCCCACACUGGAGUGCCACUAAAGGAAAGACUUAAAGAUAAGGAAGGAACUCGGCAAACCCAAGCCUCGCCUGUUUACCAAAAACAUCGCCUCCUGCAACAAACCAAGUAUAAGAGGUCCAGCCUGCCCAGUGACCAAAAGUUUAACGGCCGCGGUAUCCUAACCGUGCAAAGGUAGCGCAAUCACUUGUCUUUUAAAUAAAGACCUGUAUGAAUGGCCAAACGAGGGCUUAACUGUCUCCCUUAUCAAGUCAGUAAAAUUGAUCUACCCGUGCAGAAGCGGGUAUAAAUAUACAAGACGAGAAGACCCUUUGGAGCUUAAGGUAAAAAUUCACCCACGUCAAGCAGCUCAACAUAAAAGCAGACUCCUUUUUAAACCUUGUGGAUAAUGAAAUAAUACCUUCGGUUGGGGCGACCAUGGAGAAAAAGAAAACCUCCAAGUGGAAUGGGACCACCCCUAAAGCUAAGAGAGACAUCUCUAAGCCACAGAACAUCUGACCAUAAAUGAUCCGGCUAAUUAAUAGCCGAUCAACGAACCAAGUUACCCUAGGGAUAACAGCGCAAUCCUCUCCAAGAGACCAUAUCGACGAGAGGGUUUACGACCUCGAUGUUGGAUCAGGACAUCCUAAUGGUGCAGCCGCUAUUAAGGGUUCGUUUGUUCAACGAUUAAAGUCCUACGUGAUCUGAGUUCAGACCGGAGCAAUCCAGGUCAGUUUCUAUCUGUAACUCUACUUUUCCUAGUACGAAAGGACCGGAAAAGAGGGGCCCAUACCACCAGCAAGCCCCACCCUCAACUUAUGAAAACAAAUAAAUAGUAUUAAAGGGAGAACAAAGUCCCAACCAAGAUAAGGACAU